CUGCAUAUUUGUGAAUUACCAGCGGGCUUCUCCAUGAUUCAAACGAACAAAGCGCUCCAAACGUGGUAUCGGUCUUCUGGCAACUAUAUCCAGAUCUCUCCCCCCUCAUUCUUCACUUUCCUUUUCUUUUUAAAUUAGGUUUCUUUCUUUUACAUCUGAAAUCCCAAUUGCUCUCAUCGGCACAGCGAUGUCUGCUUCGACGGUGUCUAUCACGGCGAACCCUGCAGCUCGUAGGAGACCUGUCGUCGUUGGUGAGGAGAAGUCCAACAAUAUGGAAUUGUUACCCAAAGAAGCACCAAUUAAUGUCGGCGAUCUUGCUAUUAACAAUGUUAUGGGCAACGAUAAACACGUGGCCUCUCACAGUAAGGAUAUAAGCCACCAUUCCAUUCGUGGUGAGGCGGUUCUCGAAAGAUCCUCGAAAGAUCUGGCCCAAGUCAAGAAGAACAACGCCAUUGCACAUUCCACUGUUUCUCCUCGUAGGACGCGUAAAGUGGUCGCAAAGCCUGAGAAGCCGCGCUGGCUGACGGUGUUUAGUGUUUUCACCAAGAAUUUUGUGCUGUUGCUUGUGUUAAUAGGGUUGGCGCAGAUGGUUAGGAGACUGGCUUUGAAGUCAGGGGAUUAUUCUUUGUCGGGGGCACAAGUGGGAUUAUCGGAAUUUGAGGCCCGAAUUGCUGAAGUUGAAUCCUUUCUGAAGACUACUGUGAAAAUGAUUCAGGUUCAAGUGGAGGUCGUCGAUGUGAGGAUUGAAAACGAGGUUGCAGGGUUAAGGAGGGACAUGGACAAGAAGAUUGACGACAAAGGUGUAUUUUGGGAGACUGAGUUGAAGCAAUUAGUAGCUAGAAGUGAAGGAAUGGAGAAGUCUAUGGGUGAGUUAAAAGCUGCGGACUGGAUGUCGAAGGAGGACUUCAAAAAGUUUUAUGCGGAGUUGAAGAAGCAACAAGGCAGUGAGUUUGGUGAAAAGGAUGUAAGUUUGGAUGAUAUAAGGGCAUAUGCGAGGGAGAUAGUGGAGAGGGAAAUUAAGAAGCAUGCGGCGGAUGGGCUGGGAAGGGUGGACUAUGCCCUGGCAUCUGGUGGGGCAGUGGUUGUGAAACACUCAGAGCCAUAUAUGGCUGGGAAGGGGAGCAACUGGUUCUUGAUGAGUAGCCGAAGUGGUAUUCAUCCUGAUGCGGUUAAUAUGUUGAAACCGAGCUUUGGGGAGCCUGGGCAGUGUUUUCCGCUGAAAGGAAGUAGAGGGUUUGUUCAAAUUAGGCUUCGAACGUCUAUCAUCCCUGAGGCUGUUACUCUAGAACAUGUGGCUAAGAGUGUUGCUUAUGACCGGUCAAGUGCUCCCAAAGACUGUCGGGUGUCUGGGUGGCUGCAAGGGAAUGAUAUUGAUGUAGCCAUUGAUACUGAGAAGAUACAUAUUUUAACUGAAUUUAAUUAUGACCUCGAGAAGAGCAACGCUCAGACCUUCACUGUGUUGGACUCAGUAGCAUCUGGCAUUGUUGACACUGUUAGGCUGGACUUCGCAUCCAAUCAUGGAAGCUCUUCCCACACUUGCAUUUAUCGCUUGAGGGUUCACGGUUAUGAACCCAAUUCUGUUUCAAUGAUGACAACAGAGUCUUGAUUCCAUAACCUGUAACUUUUUUUAAACCGUAGCUAUUAAUGUAGAUUUCUUUGUUUAAAAUUUUCACUUCCUCGUGUAUUUGUGUUUAGUUUAGUGAAAUAGGUCAGUGCAUUAUAAAUAUUUGCUGGUUAGAUUGUAAUGAAUGGAUGUCGAAGUUCUCCUUGUAUUUCUUGGCCAAUUCUCUAUUGUAGAGGAUGAUAUUGUUCUGUUGCAUCGAUGUGUUUGAUUUUCUUUCACUCGCUCUGAAUUAGGAUGUGUUUGGUUGAGCGGUAGAAAUAUAACUUUUGUGCUUGUGCUUUCAA
rnacentral:misc_RNA from 1 species